rnacentral:rRNA from 1 species
ACGAACGCUGGCGGCGUGCUUAACACAUGCAAGUCGCGCGGUAAGGCUCCUUCGGGAGUACACGAGCGGCGAACGGGUGAGUAACACGUGAGUAAUCUGCCCUUCACUUCGGGAUAACCACCGGAAACGGUGGCUAAUACCGAAUACGACCAGUCUUCGCAUGAGGUGCUGGUGGAAAGUCUUUUCGGUGAAGGAUGUGCUCGCGGCCUAUCAGCUUGUUGGUGGGGUAAUGGCCUACCAAGGCUUCGACGGGUAGCCGGCCUGAGAGGGUGACCGGCCACACUGGGACUGAGACACGGCCCAGACUCCUACGGGAGGCAGCAGUGGGGAAUAUUGGACAAUGGGCGAAAGCCUGAUCCAGCAACGCCGCGUGAGGGAUGACGGCCGUCGGGUUGUAAACCUCUUUCAGUACCGACGAAGCGCCCUGUCGGGUGGUGACGGUAGGUACAGAAGAAGGACCGGCCAACUACGUG